rnacentral:rRNA from 1 species
UUAUGGCUCAGGAAUGAACGCUAGCGGCAGGCCUAACACAUGCAAGUCGAGGGGCAGCAGGGAGUAGCAAUACUCUGCUGGCGACCGGCGCACGGGUGCGUAACGCGUAUGCAACCUACCCGUAACAGGGGUAUAACGGAGGGAAACUUCCACUAAUCCCCCAUAUUGUCGAGGGACCGCAUGGUCUUUUGACGAAAGCCUUGGUGGUUACGGAUGGGCAUGCGUGGCAUUAGGUAGUCGGCGGGGUAACGGCCCACCGAGCCAACGAUGCCUAGGGGAGCUGAGAGGCUAAUCCCCCACACUGGUACUGAGACACGGACCAGACUCCUACGGGAGGCAGCAGUGAGGAAUAUUGGUCAAUGGGCGGAAGCCUGAACCAGCCAUGCCCGCGUGAGGGAAGGAGGCCCUACGGGUCGUAAACCUCUUUUACACGGGAGCAAUAAGGUUCGUGCGCGGACCGAUGAGAGUACCGUGGGAAUAAGCAUCGGCUAACUCCGUGCCAGCAGCCGC